AGUUUCUACCCAGCCGCCUGCAAAAAUAUCUCAAGGCAUAGCGUGCAUUGAGCUGAGGAGGGACAGCCGGUUCUACUUGAAACUGGGAAGUGGUCUCCCCACAGCUGGGUUGGCAAACCCAGCUUUUACCUUUCAGAGUCCAGCGCCUCCUAAGGGUCUUCCUGAUGUCCUAAAUCUCCACCCAAGUCUCUACCAUGAGAUGGAGUCUCGCUUUGUCUGCAGGCUGGAGUGCAAUGGC